AGAGAGAGAGAGAGAGAGAGAGAGAGAGAGAGAGAGAGUGGUGGCAGUGUGGCGUAAGGGGGUAAUGAGGUCCCUGAGGUCCUUCUCUAUUUGUAUGUUUUGUAUUUGUCAUGGUUACAGUUUUGCUUUGUUGGGUUACCUUUGCGUGCUGUGUUGGGGGGAGGGGCUUUGGAGGGGCGUGGGGUCACCUGGGGGCGCCUUGAACUUGCUCGCGGCACUUGGGGAUCGUGGCGAGAACGGAUAUUCUUAUUUUAGGUGAGAAGCCAGCUAGGUGACGUCACUCCUCCACUCAUGCGGGGAGAGGGAGAGGGAGAGAGGGAGAGAAAUGCCACCCUCCCAUGCAUUUCGCUCCCUGGCCCCACUCCUGUCUUCACCGGCGGCCCAUUGGAGUGACAAGAGGGUCUUUUAUCACGAUAUUCCCCCGGAAGGAAAUUUCAGGAGAUUAGUAAGAGUUUGGCCCAGUGAGACGAGUUGCCGGGCGGUGGUGGUGGUUGUCGUGGGGGUGGUGAUGGUGGUGGCGUCUGGCAUCCGAGCCCCGUCAGCGGUGGCCGAGACGAGAAUUUUUGAACGUGUUAUUUCACGGGUAUUUCGGGGAUGUUUCGGGAAUUAAAGGGGGUGAGGUGUAGCGCAGAUCCUCGUGGAGUGUCGCGUGUAGGCGUGGGGGCGGUAGGGAAGGCGUGGCGGCCGUGGCACAGACAGAGGCCUCGGCCCUCCCCCGCCCUAGCCUUCUACCGUCAGUCUAAACACGCCGCCGCCGCCAGACAUUAGUUGCUUCCCGGCUGCCGUGUGCGCUGUACGCUGCCGCCUUGCACAGGCGACAGACAUACAGACAGAGAAGACACGCACACAUUUUCUCUUUAAAGCCUAAAAGAGAAAGAAAGAAAGAGUGUGAGCAAAGUAAAGGAAAAGAGAAACCCAACCCAAAAAAACGUAUAUUGGAGAAAAUUGGCGAAGAGUAAACAAGAAUCAAAUAAAAAUAAAGAAAGCCAUAAAAAAAAAAAACUGAAAUUCAACACAGGUAUUAGUGCCUUAUUAAAAUUAAAGGGGAAAAAAUCAGUGAUAAAGGAGAAUAUCAUAAGUGAACAUAUAAUAAAGUGUGCAA